ACCUACGGGGGGCAGCAGUGGGGAAUAUUGCACAAUGGGGGAAACCCUGAUGCAGCGACGCCGCGUGAGUGAAGAAGUAUCUCGGUACGUAAAGCUCUAUCCGCAGGGAAGAAAAAAAGCCUCUAGCUUUGGACGGUACCUGACUAAGAAGCCCCGGCUAACUACGUGCCAGCAGCCGCGGUCAUACGUAGGGGGCAAGCGUUAUCCGGAUUUACUGGUAGUAAAGGGAGCGUAGACGGCAGCGCAAGUCUGGAGUGAAAUGCCGG
rnacentral:rRNA from 1 species